GCAAUAUGGCUGAGGUUAAGCAAUAAAUUGUAAAUUUAUUAACGAAUUUUUUUAUUCUAUUGCCAU
rnacentral:tRNA from 1 species